CUUAAAUUGAAGAGUUUGAUCAUGGCUCAGAUUGAACGCUGGCGGCAGGCCUAACACAUGCAAGUCGAGCGGAACAGAGUUAUCCGAA
rnacentral:rRNA from 1 species